GCGGGAGGACCGAGUAGGCGGUCGUCCGGACUGGACCAUACCCCCGGAUUUUGCAGGUUCGAGUCCUGCUCCCGCA
rnacentral:tRNA from 1 species